rnacentral:rRNA from 1 species
GAUGAACGCUGGCGGCGUGCCUAAUACAUGCAAGUCGAACGAGUGGCGAACGGGUGAGUAACACGUGGGAAACCUACCCUUCAGCGGGGGAUAACAAUCGGAAACGAUGACUAAUACCGCAUACUGAAGGAUGGUACUGCGUUGGAUUAGCUAGACGGUGGGGUAACGGCCUACCUUGGCUUUGAUCCAUAGACGACCUGAGAGGGUGACCGGCCACAUUGGAACUGAGACACGGCCCAGACUCCUACGGGAGGCAGCAGUAGGGAAUAUUGCGCAAUGGACGCAAGUCUGACGGAGCAACGCCGCGUGUGUGAAGAAGGCCUUCGGGUCGUAAAGCACUGUUAUCAGAGAAGCGGUACCUGAACAGAAAGCAACGGCUAACUACGUGCCAGCAGCCGCGGUAAUUC